rnacentral:rRNA from 1 species
GUACACUCCUACGGGAGGCAGCAGUGGGGAAUUUUGGACAAUGGGCGAAAGCCUGAUCCAGCCAUGCCGCGUGCAGGAUGAAGGCCUUCGGGUUGUAAACUGCUUUUGUACGGAACGAAACGGCCUUUUCUAAUAAAGAGGGCUAAUGACGGUACCGUAAGAAUAAGCACCGGCUAACUACGUGCCAGCAGCCGCGGUAAUACGUAGGGUGCAAGCGUUAAUCGGAAUUACUGGGCGUAAAGCGUGCGCAGGCGGUUAUGUAAGACAGUUGUGAAAUCCCCGGGCUCAACCUGGGAACUGCAUCUGUGACUGCAUAGCUAGAGUACGGUAGAGGGGGAUGGAAUUCCGCGUGUAGCAGUGAAAUGCGUAGAUAUGCGGAGGAACACCGAUGGCGAAGGCAAUCCCCUGGACCUGUACUGACGCUCAUGCACGAAAGCGUGGGGAGCAAACAGGAUUAGAUACCCCAGUAGUCCCAUGA